ACGCGAAGAACCUUACCUGGGCUCGAAAUUUUGUUGCCAGUCUCAGAGAUGAGAUCUUUCCGCAAGGAACAGCAGAAUAGGUGCUGCAUGGCUGUCGUCAGCUCGUGUCGUGAGAUGUUGGGUUAAGUCCCGCAACGAGCGCAACCCUCACCCUUAGUUGCUCGUCCGUAAGGAAAGCACCCUAAGGGAACUGCCUCGGAUAACGGGGAGGAAGGUGGGGAUGACGUCAAGUCCUCAUGGCCUUUAUGUCCAGGGCUACACACGUGCUACAAUGGCCGGUACAAACCGUUGCUAACCCGCGAGGGGGAGCCAAUCGGAAAAAACCGGUCUCAGUUCGGAUUGCAGGCUGCAACUCGCCUGCAUGAAGCUGGAAUCGCUAGUAAUCACGUAUCAGAACGACGUGGUGAAUACGUUCCCGGGCCUUGUA
rnacentral:rRNA from 1 species